rnacentral:rRNA from 1 species
UACGUAGGGUGCGAGCGUUGCCCGGAUUUAUUGGGCGUAAAGGGCGCGUAGGCGGCUCUGCACGUCCGUUGUGAAAUCGCCCGGCUCAACUGGGCGGGGUCAGCGGAUACGGCGGAGCUUGAGCAAGCUAGGGGGCAAUGGAAUUCCCGGUGUAGUGGUGGAAUGCGUAGAGAUCAUGAGGAAGACCAGUGGCGAAGGCGGGUCUCUGGACAGUUCCUGACACUGAGGCACGAAGGCCAGGGGAGCAAACGGG